AGUUGUUAUCUAGGAGAACAUUUGUCUUGAAAACAAAUUUUGAGUGUUCGAUUCACUCAACAACUU
rnacentral:tRNA from 2 species